AUUGAACGCUGGCGGCAGGCCUAACACAUGCAAGUCGAACGAGUGGCGGACGGGUGAGUAAUGUCUGGGAAACUGCCUGAUGGAGGGGGAUAACUACUGGAAACGGUAGCUAAUACCGCAUACCAUCGGAUGUGCCCAGAUGGGAUUAGCUAGUGGGUGGGGUAACGUCUCACCUAGGCGACGAGCCCUAGCUGGUCUGAGAGGAUGACGAGCCACACUGGACCGGAGACACGGUCCAGACUCCUACGGUAGGCAGCAGUGGGGAAUCUUCCGCAAUGGGCGGAAGCCUGAUGCAGCCAGUCCGCGGGUAUGAAGAAGGCCUUCGGGUUGUAAAGUACUUUCAGCGGGGAGGCGUUACCCGCAGAAGAAGCACCGGCUAACUCCGUGCCAGCAGCCGCGGUAAUAC
rnacentral:rRNA from 1 species